rnacentral:lncRNA from 1 species
CAACAUCACCACAUUUGAGAUCUCCAACCCCCUCUUCCUUUCUAUUUAUAAAAACUUUAAAAGGGCGGUUGUCGAUGCAUAUGUCUAUAAUAAAUAUUGCAGAUCUCGUUGAGUUGAUCUUCAUAUAGGUCAGCGUUGGAAGGGAAAUCACUUCGCCGACAUAAAUUGAUGGUUUCCCAAGGACAAGCUUGGUGUCCUAAAAUAAGCACUGAUC